GAUGAACGCUGGCGGCGUGCCUAAUACAUGCAAGUCGAGCGAAUGGAUUAAGAGCUUGCUCUUAUGAAGUUAGCGGCGGACGGGUGAGUAACACGUGGGUAACCUGCCCAUAAGACUGGGAUAACUCCGGGAAACCGGGGCUAAUACCGGAUAACAUUUUGAACCGCAUGGUUCGAAAUUGAAAGGCGGCUUCGGCUGUCACUUAUGGAUGGACCCGCGUCGCAUUAGCUAGUUGGUGAGGUAACGGCUCACCAAGGCAACGAUGCGUAGCCGACCGGAGAGGGUGAUAGGCCACACUGGGACUGCGACACGGCCCAGACUCCUACGGGAGGCAGCAGUAGGGAAUCUUCCGCAAUGGACGAAAGUCUGACGGAGCAACGCCGCGUGAGUGAUGAAGGCUUUCGGGUCGUAAAACUCUGUUGUUAGGGAAGAACAAGUGCUAGUUGAAUAAGCUGGCACCUUGACGGUACCUAACCAGAAAGCCACGGCUAACUACGUGCCAGCCGCCGCAGUAA
rnacentral:rRNA from 1 species